rnacentral:rRNA from 1 species
AGCAGUAGCCGCGGUAAUACAGAGGGUGCGAGCGUUAAUCGGAUUUACUGGGCGUAAAGCGUGCGUAGGCGGCUUUUUAAGUCGGAUGUGAAAUCCCUGAGCUUAACUUAGGAAUUGCAUUCGAUACUGGGAAGCUAGAGUAUGGGAGAGGAUGGUAGAAUUCCAGGUGUAGCGGUGAAAUGCGUAGAGAUCUGGAGGAAUACCGAUGGCGAAGGCAGCCAUCUAGCCUAAUACUGACGCUGAGGUACGAAAGCAUGGGGAGCAAACAGGAUUAGAUACCCCCGUAGUCCCUGUCUCUUAUAC